rnacentral:rRNA from 1 species
UGUCCUGGAGCCUGGAGAGAUCCGGGUGUGCCCGAAAGGAACGGGAACACAGGUGCUGCAUGGCUGUCGUCAGCUCGUGUCGUGAGAUGUUGGGUUAAGUCCCGCAACGAGCGCAACCCUUGCCAUUAGUUGCUACAUUCAGUUGGGCACUCGUAAUGGGACUGCCGGUGACAAACCGGAGGAAGGUGGGGAUGACGUCAAGUCCUCAUGGCCCUUAUGGGUAGGGCUUCACACGUAAUACAAUGGUCGGUACAGAGGGUUGCCAAAGCGCGAGCUGGAGCCAAUCCCAGAAAGCCGAUCGUAGUCCGGAUUGCAGUCUGCAACUCGACUGCAUGAAGUCGGAAUCGCUAGUAAUCGCGGAUCAGCAUGUCGCGGUGAAUACGUUCCCGGGUCUU